ensembl:lncRNA
UUUUUUUUUUUUUUUUGGCUCUUUAGGGCUCUACCCAUGGCAUAUGGAAGUUCCCAGGUUGAAUUGGAGCUGCAGCUGCCAGCCUACGCCACAACCACAGCAGCACCAGAUCUGAGCCGCAUCUGCAACCUACACCAUAGCUCACGGCAACGCUGGAUUGCUAACCCAGUUAGCGAGGCUAGGGAUCAAACCUGAUACUAGUCGAUUUUGUUACCACUAAACCACAACAAGAACGCCAACAUAUGUCUUUUCUGUGUUUCAAAUGAUCAAAGCGCCAAGUUGGCUAGCUACAUGCAGCCUCUGACCCUCAUAAAAACGAGUCCUCUCUGAAUUUUAGGCACAGCGCUGGUGGAACUGUUCUGGGAAGAAAGAGACUUCUCUAUGGGGGCCUCAUGCCCUCCUUCUGGGGACCCUUCCCCAGACAAUUCGCUGUCUCCCUCUCCCUCUCGAGUCCUCAAUCCAAAGCCCACCACGCCUUCCCAAAUCCCAUGUGAUUCCCCUUCUGCCUCAAUAAAAAUUCCUCUUUCCACCUGCUCCUCAAGUACUCCCACUUCCAAGCCUCUAACUCAUUUCCCGUCACUCAGUGACCAAAGUCACUCCAGGAAAACUUAGAAGAAUCAAUACCCCUAAACCCACACAUGCAUCUCCCACCACAUAAUCUCCCUCCAGCCGUCUGGUGUACAUGUUAGGCACCCAUGUGGGCACACCCUUCCCCACAUGCUUCCCCCUGCUGAGAGCAUGACCUCGAGGGCUCCCCCCUAUGCAGCCGGCGAGGGGGCUGGGGGGUCUACUACUCCCUGGGAAGGAACGUACUCUCCGUCCUGGCGAUCCCGGGGCGUGGGCUGUUCCCCAGGGUCAUCCUCACAGCCACACACCUUCUGGGUGCAGGUAGGCCUGGCCCUACAGUUCUCUCGGCAGGAAAGACCAAGUGUGUCCCAUUUUGUCUCUGGUCCUAAAAUACCUUCCUGAGGAAGAAGACCAGACUCCAGCAGCACUUUGAAGCGAGUGCCCGAGGACCACUCGGCGAGGAAGAAGAAGGCUGCUCCAUCUUCCAGGUGCCAGGCCCUUCGAGGCCACCAGACCCGUGGCAACCUCGGAAUAGUGCUUAGGGGAAGUGAGCCUCCUCCCGAGGCUCGUCGGAGGGCAGGCCACACGGACCUCUCAGAGGGUCACGGGGCACGUGCCCAGGAAACUAUGGACUUUCUGCAAUUUUCCAGAACAACUGUGGAAAGCAAACAGUCAUGUGCCUGCUCUGGAACUGACGUCCAGGAAAAGGAAGGAACUAACAUGGACGAGUAUCUCCCACAUGUGGGCGCUGACACACUCCCAGGUGUUCUUCUUCUUAUUAUUAUUAUUUUUUUCUCUUUUUAGGGCCUCACCCGAGGCAUAUGGAGGUUCCCAGGCUAGGGGCCAAUCUGAGCUACAGCUGCUGGCCUACAGCACAGCCACAGCCACACCAGAUCCGAGCCACGUCUGCAACCUACAGCUCAUGGCAAGGCCGGAUCCUUAACCCACUGAGCAGGACCAGGGAUUGAACCUGCAACUUCAUCGUUCCAAGUUGGAUUCCUUUCCACUGCGGCACGACAGGAACUCCCUCUCCCCCCGCCCCAUUCCUAUCCCUGAGUUUCAAGGUGGUUACAAAUUGCCUGCAGAUGCCCCACCAGGGUGUGGCAGAGGCAGGUGGCACUCCAGAGUCUCUGCUCCUCCCACUGCUCUUCCUUAAAUAUCACAGAAACCCCAAGCAUCCAUAAAAAACAAAUCAACAAAACAAACUAUACGAAAAGGGGGGGGGGAGCCUGAAAGAAAAAAAGAGCAAGAUAAACAAAGCCAAAAGACAAACAGACCAGGAAGAAACAUUCCCAAGCCACAGUCCUGACCAAGAGCUCAUUUGUUCAAUAUAUAUAAAGCGCUCCUAUAAAUAGAUAAGAAAAAGACCUACCACCCCAAAGGAGAACCAGCAACGAGCCCAGAGUCCCAGAAAGGGAACCGAAUCGGAAAUACAAGUGCCCCCAACAUUGCUCAUCCUCGUUCACGAGACGCACAAAGUACAAUGAGACACUAUUUUCACCCAACAGAAUGGAAACCACCACAAACUUACAAAAGAGUCUGUGUGGGAGAGGGCCUGGAGAGACAGGCGUGGGCAUUCUCUGUCGGUGGGAGCGAAAAUCGCCCGACCUCCAGGCGGGAGCAAUUUCCUGCGGGUGGAAAUGAACCCCCCGCCGCCGCACGCGGGCACCCCCUCCGCGCCGCAUCCGCGCUUUGCUCCGGCGCCGCCCGCCCAAGCACGUGCCCCUCGGAACACGGCUGAACGUGGGUAACGACGUGUGUGCAAGCAUUCCAGCCCUGGAAGCAGCCUAAACUUUUGUCGGGAGGAGACAGCGUUAAAAAAGUAAUAAAUCAUAAGGCUUAAUCACGACAAAUUACGUAACGUCUAUACAAUGGAAUACUAGGCAGCUGUUCCCAAAACGACACAGCUCUGCAGAGGGAGAUGCAGAACCUCCCGGCCACGGCCCUAGGUGAGGCGCAGCACACAGGGCGGGUUCCAUUUGUGCGGAGAAAGGUCUGCACAGGCGCCUCCUCUCACUCUCCUGCGGGAGGCUGCGCGCCCCUUCCCUCUCCUCACCCCCCGCACCUCUUCCGAACCAGCCGCUUGCUUGGUGGCAUCACUUCCUAUUCCCCAGGAAACCAGACGUGGUCAGGAAGACAGACCCCCUCCACCUUCUCCCUGCCUGCGCCCCCACCUCCAUCGGAUGCUGGGAAGCCCUGAGAGCCGGGUGAACAAGCUGCGAUGGCAGGAAAAUGUUCUCUCAGGCUGGUCAAAGAACAAUGAACACUGUAAUUAUGUUUUAUUUUUUGACCCAGAGGGUAAAGAGCCACAAUGAGUGGGGAGUGGAAAAACAAGCCAGGCCUUUGGCACAAUGAUGCUGCUGGGAGUGUGUUGCAAUGAUCUAAAAUGAGCCGACGCAAACUCAUGGCACAGAGUUUGACUCGGAAAAUCUCUCUCUCCCCAUUCUCUCCCAGGACCUCAGGCAACUCUUCACAGUUAUAUUUAGGAAUAUUUCACAAAAUACCUUUCUGACCUCGGUGGCAUAAGGGCUGUCGAAAACCACUAUGUCCUUGAGAGCUGCCUACAUGUCAGUCCAGAGCCCUUGAACCCAGCCUCCUGCGGGUUCUGUCUGUGCACCGAAUGGGCACUUACUGAUUACGGUAUAAAGGGCUAAGGUACAAGGACAAGGUCGUGCCUGGUUUUAACUCUGACUGUGGCUGGGCCUUGGUAGGAGGGACACACCUUUCUCUGAGAGUCAAGAUAACUGUGCACCUGCAAUGGGGCUUGGAGAUCAGCGGGUCCAGGCUUUUCUGUAUCCUCUUGAAAAUCCAGGAUAUGACCUGGUGCUCUGCUCCCCAAAUGCCCAUCCCAAGGGACUGUAAAUAUAUAUUUUUUUCCCUGGAAUUGUGUUGAAAAGCUGUAAGUGGCAUUCCUGAGGCCAGGUGUGGACAUCAGGUGCAUGUCAUGUGACAGGAUGGUAACAAAGGUGCUGGCAGGGAGCCUCCCCUACAAGUUCAUGUUCAGAUCGGGACUGAACAUAGGAACUUCGGGGCCAGUCGGAUGACCAAAGUAAUUUUAUUUGCUCAGGAAAUUAUUACAAUUGAUUUGCAUGAUUUAAUCCCACCUGAAACACAUAGCGGGGGGUCAGACAUCAGUCCAAGCCAUAUUCAGAUUAACGGUGGUAUUCCAAAUUUCCCAGCCUUACAGCAGAUUCAACGCUCAGGACUAAGUCGAGAACCACCACAAGAGACCUUUAGUUAAAUUCUGCAGCCCAGGGAGCUCAAACCCACCACUCUGAUGGGAGGUAAAGCCCGAUCACCAGGGCAAAAGUCAGCAUGGGAAACUCUGUGAAACAAUUAUGAAAGCAGCCAGUGGCGGUACGAAAGGCUUCAUUCCCAACUAAUGCUGUUUACGUGACAACCAUCCUUGGCCAAGGAAAGGAGAAUAAUUGCUAGGAUUACCUACCCUUUUAUUUAGCAAACAGACACCCCCACCCCACCCCUGCAGAGCGCUGCAGAGCGCUGCGGGUCACACAUACUGUGCUCUGCUGAAUGUGUCAUUUCUUUACAACUGCUGGGUGUGUGUUCAGGCACAGAGCUGGUCAGGACAGCAGGCUUUUCUCUGGAGAAAAGAUGUGAGCAGCAAGUCUGUCCUGGGGAGACUGCUGCCUCCGUUUACCUUUCCCUGAAUUCAAAGCACUCCUCGGAGUCCACGACUAGGAAGGCCUUACAGUCAACUGGAGUUACGGGUGAAGAGUAAUCUGGAGCGCAAAUAAAGGAGCGGCUUGCACAGAUUUCCCCGAAAGUCAAAAGGGACCAGGACAAGGGCUGUCGGGAGAAGUGCUAUCCCCAGCCUGCCCCAUGCUCAGGUCCCGGGCACCUGCCUCUACUUCGAUGCAUGGGUGGAUAUGAACGGCUCCCUCUGCACCAGGGAGCAAAUGCAAUGGCAAGGUUACACAAUCAGCAGUCAAGUGCAAAGGAAAAUAAAAACUGGACUAUGACUCUCAGCCUGCUUUUCACGAUUAGAUAACACCCCCAUUCGCUUGGAAUCCACUGAGUUAUGAUCAGAGCAUUCACAGUCCUCAGGUCAGACAUUGCGGUUUCAUUUCCCCAAAGGUGCCUCAUGCACAGAAUUGAGUCACGAGUGUCCGCACUACACAGACCUCUGUUCUCUCCCACCCUGGGUCACAGGUCCAGAGACCAAGGCAGCUAAGGUGUUGAAUCGUUCGUCCAAGGUCAUCCUGAUCCAGGUUCCCCAACAGUAAAGUGAAGACUUGUGCAAAACAGGUUGGGGUUGGUACAUGCACACGUUGCCAAUGGAUAAGCCACGAGGUCUGCUGUACUGCACAGGGAACUCUAUCCAGUCUCUUGGGAUAGACCAUGAUGGAAGAGAAUACGAGAAAAUGAAUGUAUAGAUACGUACGAUGGGGUCACGCUGCUGUGCAGUAGACAUUGGCACCACACUGUAAAUUAACUAUACUUUAAUAAAAAAGGAAAAAAAAAAAAAGACGUGUGUGAAACUUUUAAAAGGGAGGGGCCGUGCCUCUCCAGAGGACACAGCAAAUUAAGACCAACGGAUGGAAGUUAAAUGGAUAGCAAAGCGCUCUGUAACAGCUAGGCUCUGUCCCGCAUCUGUAAAAUGCCUAUGAGGUUUUUCUUAGGGGAUUUUCAUAGAAAUUAGACGGGAUAAUUAAUAGGAACUACUUAAGAGAACGUCUGGCAUGUCGUAGGUAAUCAAAAAGCUAAUUUCUUUUUUCUUUCCGACAGUGGAACACAUCAGCCCUGAGGACAGGAAUCCAUCAGACACGGGUGUCCACCUACGGACCCUGGAUCACGAAAUUCCUUCUAACUGCAAUAUCCAAUUUGACAGGGCAAGUCUGGACUUUCAAUCCGGGCGUAUACCACCAAUGCUAAGACUUUCUAAGUCCUCGAUGCUCUACAAAGAUGACUCAUGGUUUCCAGAGGCAUUUUCAUUUAUAUGGGAUAUUAAUAGACAAAAUGGAAAAAAAAAAGUGGGAGUGGGGUGGGUAGGGACCAGUCGGUCCAGCAAACUAGGCUAAGUGAAAUUAAACAUCCUGCAGGCUCUUAAUCAAGGAUGUCUUUUACAUUCACUGUGUAUUUCACGUCUCAAUUAGUUGUAGGUGUGCAGUGCAGCAUCGUCAAUUAUCUUCUCCGAAGGAGAUACUGCCCUGGCUGGAGAAGAGACACACCAUUCUGGUGGGUGAGUGUGAUGACCCGGAGCCCUGGCGGAAGAGCAAAGGUUCACGUGAUGCUAGUCUGGGGUGUCAGUGGUAGUACGGCAGGUACCCCAACACAUGGGUGGUAUAAAACAAUGUUAAUAACGUCCUCUCCCACAGACGUACUAAAACCUAUAAAACACCCCACCAAUGGCACAGGGCAGGUGCCGUAGAUCACUACCACCUUUGGCAGCCUAGACAAAUGAUGCCUUGGCUGGACACGUCUUAAAUGCAUCUCCUUCCCCCAAGAAGCUCUGUCUUAAACCAUCUGAGGGGAAGGACCAGGGUCCUUUUGUUUGUUUUAAACUGUCAAUUCAUCGUGCAAUGAUAUUUUUGAAAAGUUCAAUAAAGAAGGGCUCUCUGGAGCAAUCAAAUUAACAAGGACCUACAAUCAGGACAAAAUACGAGCACCUGUUAAAGAGACGGUAGAAAUCUUUGAAAGGCCACCCCUGCUCCUCUUACGGAGGGUGAAACACAGUGCCUCGAUCAUGGCCUCAGCAGAUCAGUGGCAGGGCUGGGAGAGGCCUCAGCUGGUCCUCCUGGAACCUCCUGAAAGCUGGUUCUCAUGACAGCCCAGGGCCCUGGCCAAUCUCUACUUAUGCUUCCAUCAAUCAGAAGACGGACAGGGCCACCCGAGGGUGAGGCGAAGGAGGUGUGACAUUUAAGGGGGUGUCCCAAACUCAGUCAUCAAGAUAAUGUUUCAAUGCAAUGUUUUUUUAUAGGCAAGGCUAUGUUCUAAUAAGUAAUUAUCAGCAUCUCAGUGGUUUAACCCAAUUCAGUCAAGUCUAAUGCAAGGUGAGUUGCCCUCCUCCACUUUACUGGGUGGGAACACAUGACCUUCAAGAUUAUAGCAGGAGGGAAAAAGGAAAAUGGGGGUGAUAUCUUACUCUUCAUUGCUUGACCCAGAAGUAACGGUACUGAUUCUACUCACUCACUGACCAGAAUUAAUGAUGUAUUCCUUUCCCAACUGCCAGGACAUUCGAAAAUGCUGACGACCACAUAAAUAUUUGAGGCCCAAUAAGAGGAUCAUAUGCUUGAUUUUUUUAGAAAAAAAUUAUAUAUGUAAACUUCAUACCGAAAAAAAAAAAAAUCAGAGCUUGACAUAAAACAGGAUCAGUAACAGUGCUCGCUUAGUAAUACUGGAGCUUGAGGCCAAAGGCAAAAUCAGUCACACUGCCUUUAACAUUUUUCUGUUCUGUUCAGCAAAUAUUCUAUUGCAUUAAUUUUGCAGAAGGGGUCAUACAUAGAUCAGGGCAUCGAAAAACAAGAAAUAUCAGCGUUCAUUACACAGUCCUGUGGUCUGGGCAUGCCACUUUUAGCUACUGGCUAAAAUAACCGUGCAGCAAGGUGAAGGACAGAGGGGGUUUCAAGGGCACCCCAAUACAAAACAAUCACUAUGCCCCUCCAUUCUAAGAUGCCACUGAUGGGAAGAUAUAUGAUCCAUUCAUUAACAUCUUUCAGAAGGAAAAAAAAAAAUAGCUGCUGAGCUGCUUCUGACAUCAUCUAUAAGAAAUACCCAGAUUUCAGAAAAAAAAUGGGGAGCCAAAAUAAAUAAAUAAAUAAAUAAAUAAAUAAAUAAAUAAAUAAAACAACCACAACCCAAGCCCAAACCAAACAGAAGAGGGACUCUUAAAAUGCAAGCAAUAUGGUCACAUGUUUUAAUUUAGGAUUCCCAGGCAGUAAAGCCUACACUCAAACAAAACAAACUCAGAGAGCAAAUGAAUGCUAUUAAUGAAUGAUCAGGCAUAUUUUCUGAAAUCAACAGGCAAAGGACAUAUUCUAAGCAUCACUAGACGGGGCCCAUGAACCGUGACAGGCCUCAGGAAAUCCAGUAUGAGAAAUAACACAGUGGCUUCCUCAUUUUGAAUCCGUCCCAGGAGGGCCCUCCCCGUGGCUCUCCUGACUUCCCCUCCUAGUUCUCUGUCUCUCCUUUCCAAAGCCGUUGUCAGCAAAGGGAGUGAUUUGCAUGCUUUGGCAAAUUAUCAUUGUGACAGGAUUAAAAUAUUAAGCGGAAAAGAUGAAAUGUAAAUGACAGUGAAGAGUCACUUUGGGUGGGAAAGGGUGGCCUUUAAACCCCAUCACAUAGACUGAAGAGCCACUCUUCCCCACCUCUAACCAGUGUUUCCAGCAUUUCCUGCAAUAAUGGGGUUGCCCUGAAGUCUGAAAUGCAGGCAGCUAUUCAGAAAAAGGUCAAGGCGAGAAAUUCCACACCUGUGUGUGCUCCUCCAGAGCAUCGCAACUUUCAGUCCAGAAAGCACUGCUCCAGGACAAGGAGGGGCUUCGGUUUGGCUCCACUGUGGACUGGGGAGCCGGGAGG